rnacentral:rRNA from 1 species
GAACGCGAAGAACCUUACCAAGUCUUGACAUACUGUGAGGACACAAGAGAUUGUGUUGUUCUGACCUUUGGUUAGACACAGAUACAGGUGGUGCAUGGUUGUCGUCAGCUCGUGUCGUGAGAUGUUGGGUUAAGUCCCGCAACGAGCGCAACCCCUAUGUCUAGUUGCCAGCAGUAAGAUGGGGACUCUAGACAGACUGCCAGUGAUAAACUGGAGGAAGGCGGGGAUGACGUCAAAUCAUCAUGCCCCUUAUGACUUGGGCUACACACGUGCUACAAUGGAUAGGAACAAAGAGAAGCUAACUCGCGAGAGCAAGCAAACCUCAUAAAACUAUUCUCAGUUCGGAUUGUAGUCUGCNACUCGACUACGUGAAGCUGGAAUCGCUAGUAAUCGCGAAUCAGAAUGUCGCGGUGAAUACGUUCCCGGGUCUUGUACACACC